AGACUGGUUCUUGUGUUGCAUUCAUAAAC
rnacentral:sRNA from 1 species